GAUGAACGCUGGCGGCGUGCCUAAUACAUGCAAGUCGAGCGGUAAGGUUCUCACAGUUUACUCAAGCGGUGAAAUAGUUAAUAUGUAUGGCUUAUAUAUUGACUUACAUCGAAGUGAAUAACUUUCAACAACGAAGUACUUUUCGAAGUACUGAGGGGAAAGCUUAAGUAAAGUGUGAGAAUACACGAGCGGCGGACGGCUGAGUAACGCGUAGGAACAUACCCCAAAGUGAGGGAUAACUGCCCGAAAGGGUAGCUAAUACCGCAUGUGAUCUUCGGAUUAAAGCUUUAUGCGCUUUGGGAAUGGCCUGCGUCUGAUUAGUUUGUUGGUGAGGUAAUGGCUCACCAAGACUACGAUCAGUAGCUGGUCUGAGAGGAUGAUCAGCCAGACUGGAACUGAGACACGGUCCAGACUCCUACGGGAGGCAGCAGUAGGGGAAUUUUCCACAACUGGGCGAAAGCCUGAUGGAGCAACGCCGCGUGC
rnacentral:rRNA from 1 species